UCUUUGAAUUCUUUCUUUUAAUAAUUAAAUAUUUUUAUGUACAUUUUAAUUUUAACAGAAGAUUUGAAUCUAUUUAAUUGUUUAGAAAUAUACCAACAAAUUUUUAAAAGUACCAUAGAAAAUAUAUUUUCGGACAAUUUGCAAUUAUUUGAGUUAUCUAGAGAUAUAAUCUCACUUAACCAUUUAACAGCUUUAUACUCAUCAAAUAAACACAUAAUGAGUGUUAAAACAAAACAAUAUAUUGAUAAAAUGAAAAGGGGUUAAGAACAUAUUAUUUUAAUUUUUAGUUUUAGUUCAUUAAUUAUUAUCAGUGAUAAUAUAUAUAUAUAUAUAUAUAUAUAUAUGUAAAUAAAUAAUUACAAUUUAAACA
rnacentral:lncRNA from 1 species